UAAUUUAUCACAGGAAGCAGAGUCAUUCCUUUUAACAUGCACCACUUCACAGACUCUGACAGUCAGUUCCUGAGAAGAGACAUAAAGAAGACUGAAGCACGAUGGUUGAAUCAAGAUGGAUUAAAAUGUCUUUAUUUCUGAUGCUGCUGCUUCACUUUACAGCAGUGGCUGAACAACUCUCCCCCCGUAUUGUUGUCAGAGUUGGAGAUGAAGUCACUUUGCCUUGUGACAAUGUGAGAGAUUAUCAGGACAAAUGUCAGCGUACUUCGUGGCUCUUUGUUGGUUCAGGAAGCACAACGUCAAUAUAUCUGAUUGAACGUAGACAGAUUGGUGAAAACACCAACUCUAAAUCAGACAGACUAAGUGUUACAGCGAACUGUUCUCUGGUUAUAAAGAAGGUCACAGUCGAGGAUGUUGGUCGUUACACCUGCAGACAACAACAAGGUCCAGACUCUCAGGUUCAUCUGUUUGUCAUUACCAGUGAGUAUUUAUAUCAUAAUGUUUUCAGCUCAAACUGUCUUGUUAGAACAAAAUACUGAAACAUUACAAUAAUUAUGAUUAUAGUGAUGAAGUUCAUUUUACUCUUGUUGUCUUUCUCUCACAAUAUCUCCAUCUUCACCAGUGACUGAACAUAAGGACUCUGAUAAGGUGACAUUAAGCUGCUCUGUGUCGACUGACAGAGGGUGUGAACACAGAGUGAAGUGGCUGUAUGAGGGUGAAGAUCUGGAUAAAGAUAAUGAAGACAGGGACACAUCAGAGCCUAAGUGCUCAGUUACUGUGACAUUCCCUACUUCUGAUCUUAACCUGAAGUCAGAGCAUCUUAAGUGUGAAGUGACUGAUCUUUUUGUUCAACCAGAGCAGCAGUUUACCUUCAGCCUUCAGUCCUCAGGUCAGAAACCAGGCGAGAAUAUCAGCUAUUUAUAAUCACUUGAGGACAAUGAAAAUUGUAAAACUGAGACAUAAAAACUACAUUGUUUACUAAUGUAGAUGUAGAGAUUAUUUUUUUCAUUAGUUAAAUAAUAAAAAAAUAAGUAAAUCUCUAAAUCUCAACAACAGAGUCAGUUUGCUUCAUCCUCAGAGGAUUAUGACUGUAUAAGUUUUUAGAGACAGUCCAUCCAAUAGUUGUUGAGAUAUUUAAGUCUGGACCAAAGUGAUGGACUGACUGACAGUCACUGUCAUCUCCAGAGCCAUGUCACUAACUUUGCUGAGCACAUAUGUUGUGCGUCGGAUUUGUUGACAAUAACUUUCUUCACUGACAUUAUGUUUCUGUUGCACAGCUCGUACAGAUUGGUCUGUUCUGAACUACAUAAUGUUGGUUAUGCGUGUGGCUGAACUCCUCCUAAUUACGGUGAUUACUGUUCUUCUCAUCAGAGCUCGAGGUGAGAACAUUCAGACCAACAUUUGUUUACACUGAUUAACACAAACUGUAAGUUUAGAGCUGAAAUGUUACGCUGUGCUUUAUUUUCCAGGGAACCAGAGACCACCUGAUGACAGCACUGUGAGUUGAGGAUAAAAACUGAAGUGAACCCAUGUGUAACAAUAAAAAUGUAUAUGAAUGAUCAGAGACUGUAAGUCAGUGUAAAUGAUGAUAAGCUGCUGCUGGGAACUGUUCAUGUUACUGUAAUGCAGGACUGUGAAUGUCUCACUGUUUGUGUUUGUGCAGGUUUUAAACUCAGAAGGAAGCCAGCAGUGAGGCGUUCAGGUCCAGCAGCCAGUCAGGUAAAGAUCAGAUCAGACAGUAACUGGAGGAAAAUCUGGCGGUUUGGGGGAUUAUAACAAAAUUCAUGAACUGAAAACAUUUAUUUGUUCCAGUUAAACUGAAGUGUGUUUCUGUGUUUCCCAGGUGCAUCGUGAUGAAGAUGGACAUGACGACACAGUGAACUAUGAAAACGAUAGAGAGCCCUCUGCUUCUGUCAGACUCAAGAACUUCCACACCAACAUCCACUGCUGUUAAAGGUUUAUUCACAGCAUUAUUUUACCUCAGACCAUGAAUCCUAGUUUUAUUUUAAGGUUUUAGAUGAGGUCUUGGUUAUUGUAUGGAUGCAGGGGGAAAAAAAUGAUGUUUAACUGACUCUUUCUCAGCAAGAACUCAAAGCUUUGGUUUGAUCUAAUUUUGAGAAGCUUGCUGUACAUUUGAGAACAUUUUUGUCUUUUCUUGCAUCAGUUUGAAAAAAUCUUUCCUUUCUGCAACCAGGCUUGCACAUUUUCUGAUUGCCUUUUAAUCUGUAAGUAGCCUAGUUUAGCAUGAACUCAUUUUAAUCACUCUGUGUGCAGAAGAACUCUUUUUAUUGACUCUGAAUUUCUGGUUUCCAGUGUCCAAUAUGUUUUUUACUAAUUUUACAGAAUAAAGAUUUUUAGAGCGACCCUCAAUUGUGUCCAAUAUAUGUAUUUCUGUUGUGGAAAACAAAAGUAGCUGCCAUACA
ensembl:lncRNA